CCCCCGGUGGCCAAGUUGGUUUAAGGCGCCAGACUGUAAUGUUGCGAAGUAAUCUGGAUAUCGGGUGUUCGAAUCACCCCCGGGGGA
rnacentral:tRNA from 1 species